CCCUUAGAUGUCCUGGGCCGCACGCGCGUUACACUGAUGCAUUCAACGAGCUUAUAACCUUGGCCGAGAGGCCUGGGCAAUCUUGUUAACGUGCAUCGUGAUAGGGAUAGAUUAUUGAAAUUAUUAAUCUUGAACGAGGAAUUCCUAGUAAACGCAAGUCAUCAGCUUGCAUUGAUUACGUCCCUGCCCUUUGUACACACCGCCCGUCGCACCUACCGAUUGAAUGGUCCGGUGAAAUCUUCGGAUUGAGACUUUGAUUUGUUUACUCAAAACGCUGUUUCAAGAAGUUGAUUAAACCUUACCAUUUAGAGGAAGGUGAAGUCGUAACA
rnacentral:rRNA from 1 species